UACGUAGGGUGCGAGCGUUGUCCGGAAUUACUGGGCGUAAAGCGUGCGUAGACGGUUAUUUAAGUCGGAUGUGAAAGCCCCGGGCUCAACCUGGGAAUUGCAUUCGAGACUGAAUAGCUAGGGUACGGUAGAGGGAAGUGGAAUUUCCGGUGUAGCGGUGAAAUGCGUAGAUAUCGGAAGGAACAUCAGUGGCGAAAGCGACUUCCUGGACCAGUACCGACGUUCAGGCACGAAAGCGUGGGGAGCAAACAGG
rnacentral:rRNA from 1 species